rnacentral:rRNA from 1 species
CGGCGAGUGAAGCGGCAACAGCUCAAAUUUGAAAUCUGGCCCCCAGGGCCCGAGUUGUAAUUUGCAGAGGAUGCUUUUGGCGCGGUGCCUUCCGAGUUCCCUGGAACGGGACGCCAUAGAGGGUGAGAGCCCCGUCUGGUCGGACACCAAGCCAGUGUAAAGCUCCUUCGACGAGUCGAGUAGUUUGGGAAUGCUGCUCUAAAUGGGAGGUAUAUGUCUUCUAAAGCUAAAUACCGGCCAGAGACCGAUAGCGCACAAGUAGAGUGAUCGAAAGAUGAAAAGCACUUUGAAAAGAGGGUUAAACAGUACGUGAAAUUGUUGAAAGGGAAGCGUUUAUGACCAGACUUGGGCCCGGUGAAUCAUCCAGCGUUCUCGCUGGUGCACUUUGCCGGGCUCAGGCCAGCAUCAGUUCGUCGCGGGGGAUAAAAGCUUCGGGAACGUGGCUCCCUCGGGAGUGUUAUAGCCCGUUGCAUAAUACCCUGCGGUGGACUGAGGUACGCGCUCCGCAAGGAUGCUGGCGUAAUGGUCAUCAGCGACCCGUCUUGAAACACGGACCAAGGAGUCGUCUUCGUAUGCGAGUGUUCGGGUGUCAAACCCCUACGCGUAAUGAAAGUGAACGCAGGUGAGAGCUUCGGCGCAUCAUCGACCGAUCCUGAUGUUCUCGGAUGGAUUUGAGUAAGAGCAUACGGGGCCGGACCCGAAAGAAGGUGAACUAUGCCUGUAUAGGGUGAAGCCAGAGGAAACUCUGGUGGAGGCUCGCAGCGGUUCUGACGUGCAAAUCGAUCGUCAAAUAUGGGCA